CCGGACCGCUACAAGAUGAGAGUGUACCCCUUUGGGGUGUGAUGGUAGCUGCGAUAAAGCAAAGUGAAGACUCAAGCCUUAUCUCAGUCCACCUAGGUUUUGCGAUACCAGCGGUCCGC
rnacentral:rRNA from 1 species